rnacentral:rRNA from 1 species
AUUGAACGCUGGCGGCAUGCCUUACACAUGCAAGUCGAACGGCAGCACGGGAGCAAUCCUGGUGGCGAGUGGCGAACGGGUGAGUAAUACAUCGGAACGUGCCCAGUAGUGGGGGAUAGCCCGGCGAAAGCCGGAUUAAUACCGCAUACGACCUACGGGUGAAAGCGGGGGAUCGCAAGACCUCGCGCUAUUGGAGCGGCCGAUGUCAGAUUAGGUAGUUGGUGGGGUAAAAGCCCACCAAGCCUACGAUCUGUAGCUGGUCUGAGAGGACGACCAGCCACACUGGGACUGAGACACGGCCCAGACUCCUACGGGAGGCAGCAGUGGGGAAUUUUGGACAAUGGGGGCAACCCUGAUCCAGCCAUGCCGCGUGCGGGAAGAAGGCCUUCGGGUUGUAAACCGCUUUUGUCAGGGAAGAAAUCCUUUGAGCUAAUAUCUCGAAGGGAUGACGGUACCUGAAGAAUAAGCACCGGCUAACUACGUGCCAGCAGCCGCGGUAAUACGUAGGGUGCAAGCGUUAAUCGGAAUUACUGGGCGUAAAGCGUGCGCAGGCGGCUUUGCGAGACAGAUGU